rnacentral:rRNA from 1 species
CACGUAGGGGGCAAGCGUUGUCCGGAUUUAUUGGGCGUAAAGAGCUCGUAGGCGGUUCGGUAAGUUGGGUGUGAAACCUCCAGGCUCAACCUGGAGACGCCACCCGAUACUGCUGUGACUAGAGUCCGGUAGGGGAGCGUGGAAUUCCUGGUGUAGCGGUGAAAUGCGCAGAUAUCAGGAGGAACACCGAUGGCGAAGGCAGUGUUCUGGGCCAGUACUGACGCUGAGGAGCGAAAGCGUGGGGAGCAAACAGG